CGGACAUGACCGGAUUAUAACUCCGAACUCUGGCCCUAAUCAUGCAAGUCGAGGCGGGGUUAGUUAGAAGCUUGCUUCUAACUAACCUAGCGGCGGACGGGUGAGUAACACGUAGGCAACCUGCCCACAAGACAGGGAUAACUACCGGAAACGGUAGCUAAUACCCGAUACAUCCUUUUCCUGCAUGGGAGAAGGAGGAAAGGCGGAGCAAUCUGUCACUUGUGGAUGGGCCUGCGGCGCAUUAGCUAGUUGGUGGGGUAAAGGCCUACCAAGGCGACGAUGCGUAGCCGACCUGAGAGGGUGAUCGGCCACACUGGGACUGAGACACGGCCCAGACUCCUACGGGAGGCAGCAGUAGGGAAUCUUCCGCAAUGGGCGAAAGCCUGACGGAGCAACGCCGCGUGAGUGAUGAAGGUUUUCGGAUCGUAAAGCUCUGUUGCCAGGGAAGAACGUCUUGUAGAGUAACUGCUACAAGAGUGACGGUACCUGAGAAGAAAGCCCCGGCUAACUACGUGCCAGCAGCCGCGGUAAUACGUAGGGGGCAAGCGUUGUCCGGAAUUAUUGGGCGUAAAGCGCGCGCAGGCGGCUCUUUAAGUCUGGUGUUUAAUCCCGAGGCUCAACUUCGGGUCGCACUGGAAACUGGGGAGCUUGAGUGCAGAAGAGGAGAGUGGAAUUCCACGUGUAGCGGUGAAAUGCGUAGAGAUGUGGAGGAACACCAGUGGCGAAGGCGACUCUCUGGGCUGUAACUGACGCUGAGGCGCGAAAGCGUGGGGAGCAAACAGGAUUAGAUACCUGGUAGUCACGCCGUAAACGAUGAAUGCUAGGUGUUAGGGGUUUCGAUACCCUUGGUGCCGAAGUUAACACAUUAAGCAUUCCGCCUGGGGAGUACGGUCGCAAGACUGAAACUCAAGGAAUUGACGGGGACCCGCACAAGCAGUGGAGUAUGUGGUUUAAUUCGAAGCAACGCGAAGAACCUUACCAGGUCUUGACAUCCCUCUGACCGGUCUAGAGAUAGAGCUUUCCUUCGGGACAGAGGAGACAGGUGGUGCAUGGUUGUCGUCAGCUCGUGUCGUGAGAUGUUGGGUUAAGUCCCGCAACGAGCGCAACCCUUAUGCUUAGUUGCCAGCAGGUCAAGCUGGGCACUCUAAGCAGACUGCCGGUGACAAACCGGAGGAAGGUGGGGAUGACGUCAAAUCAUCAUGCCCCUUAUGACCUGGGCUACACACGUACUACAAUGGCCGGUACAACGGGAAGCGAAGCCGCGAGGUGGAGCCAAUCCUAGAAAAGCCGGUCUCAGUUCGGAUUGUAGGCUGCAACUCGCCUACAUGAAGUCGGAAUUGCUAGUAAUCGCGGAUCAGCAUGCCGCGGUGAAUACGUUCCCGGGUCUUGUACACACCGCCCGUCACACCACGAGAGUUUACAACACCCGAAGUCGGUGAGGUAACCGCAAGGAGCCGCCACCAAGGGACGAAAUAACAGUAUUUUCGUCAUGCC
rnacentral:rRNA from 1 species